AAUAUUCCAUGGGUAUGAGGUUCUGCCCCAGGCGCGCUUCGCGCGCGUUGGAGCCCCGUUAUUAUUAGACAUGAUAUGGUCAAGAAAAGAUACAAAAAAUGCACUACCAAGAAAACACGCUACGGUUUAUGGCCCAUGCACUUCGCAUAUGUACCUUAAAUGUGAGCACAAAAAAUGAGGUUCCAUAACUAACAGUACAGACCUCCAAAUUGGUCAGUAAGAGGCAGCUGUUGUUGGAAAGCUUAUAUUCUUAGGAGAUGAUAGUCUUUAGGAGAAAAUGCAGUUGGUUAAAACCAAUGAGAAAAGGAUGCAGGCCCACUUCCCGUAAAACAAGAGUUGAAGCAACAGUGCUGUAAUUUAAACUUAUUAGUAAUCAAAGUCAUGUUAUUAUGUACAACAAUAUUGUGAACCAUGGAGGGGAAAAUAUUUACUUAAUCCUCCUCAAAUGCAAAUUGGUAAUUUAACAUGCCCUUUCCACAAUAAUUAAAACAGGCCUCUGAAGAUUAACCCCUCUUAACCCUAAGAGUGACCAGCAUUUAAUUUCUCUCCAUGCAGUGAUCCCUCCUCCCACAGGCAACCCACAGUCUAGUCAUUGACUGUCAUCUGAGCUCAGGGGUGGAGAAUUUUAACCUUGCCUGGGUGGGGUGUGGAAUUUGAACCACAACUGCCAAACCUUUCCAGUGGAAUACAAGUGUUUUAUUUUUUCUUAGUUCAUGAGCGGGCAGUAAUCUACAAAUCAUGCAAUCUGAUUGGUUCUGGGAGUGUGCAGUAUUCUCCCAUUUGGCCAACUCACAGCAGGCGGCAUCCUAUCCGUUGCAUGUAGAGUUUCCUAGUACAUCUUUAGCUUUGUUGCAAACUUUAUAAAUAUAUUUAGUUUUACCUGCUGGUCAGCAUUGUAAGCAGAGAUUUUAGUCACCAUCUUUAGCUAAUAAAUAACUUAUUAAUUCUCUCCUCUUUCUCUCUCAAAUAAGAAAAAAAAACUGAUUUGGUACCAAAUGUGUUUUUUGACAUGCGGCCUACAAAACGUUUAUAAUUCAAUAAUCCUUCUUACAAUGUAACUAAGAAAGUUAAAAUGAGAGGCAUUUGCAGUUAAUAAUUAGUUUCAUGGACACAACUUUCAUACAUUUGAUAUCAGAAUUCUACAAAACAAUUUGUUGGCUGUAA